UAGGGAAUCUUCCGCAAUGGGCGAAAGCUUGACGGAGCAACGCCGCGUGAGUGAUGAAGGUCUUCGGAUCGUAAAACUCUGUUAUUAGGGAAGAACAAAUGUGUAAGUAACUAUGCACGUCUUGACGGUACCUAAUCAGAAAGCCACGGCUAACUACGUGCCAGCAGCCGCGGUAAUACGUAGGUGGCAAGCGUUAUCCGGAAUUAUUGGGCGUAAAGCGCGCGUAGGCGGUUUUUUAAGUCUGAUGUGAAAGCCCACGGCUCAACCGUGGAGGGUCAGUGGAAACUGGAAAACUUGAGUGCAGAAGAGGAAAGUGGAAUUCCAUGUGUAGCGGUGAAAUGCGCAGAGAUAUGGAGGAACACCAGUGGCGAAGGCGACUUUCUGGUCUGUAACUGACGCUGAUGUGCGAAAGCGUGGGGAUCAAACAGG
rnacentral:rRNA from 1 species